GUCUCUUCGGAGCGACACUUAUUAAAAUUGGAACGAUACAGAGAAGAUUAGCAUGGCCCCUGCACAAGGAUGACACGUUAUCUUGAGUGGAUAGCAGCUAAGGCUGCAAUAUUUUUUU
rfam:Rhizophagus irregularis DAOM 197198w jcf7180003176875, whole genome shotgun sequence.